rnacentral:rRNA from 1 species
UGCCAGCAGCCGCGGUAAUACGAAGGGACCUAGCGUAGUUCGGAAUUACUGGGCUUAAAGAGUUCGUAGGCGGUUCAAAAAGUUAGAUGUGAAAUCCCUGGGCUCAACCCAGGAACUGCAUUUAAAACUAGUGAUCUAGAAUUUGGUAGGGGUUAGUAGAAUUUCCAGUGUAGAGGUGAAAUUCGUAGAUAUUGGAAAGAAUACCAGUGGCGAAGGCGACUAACUGGGCCAUUUUUGACGCUGAGAUACGAAAGCGUGGGUAGCAAACAGGAUUAGAUA